rnacentral:misc_RNA from 1 species
GCAAACUUGGUCAUUUAGAGGAAGUAAAAGUCGUAACAAGGUCUCCGUAGGUGAACCUGCGGAGGGAUCAUUACCAGAGAUGGCGGGCCCCGCGCCCCCGUCCCCAACCCUUUGUUGACGCAAAACCUUUUUGCCUCGGGGGCAGAGCGUCCUCGGACGCCGCCCCCGGAGGACCACCAAACGCUGUCUCUGUACCUCUGAGUUUUGAUUUAAAUGAAUGAAAACUUUCAACAACGGAUCUCUUGGUUCUGGCAUCGAUGAAGAACGCAGC